rnacentral:rRNA from 1 species
GGUGGAUCAGUGGCGAACGGGUGAGUAACACGUGAGCAACCUGCCCUGGACUCUGGGAUAAGCGCUGGAAACGGCGUCUAAUACUGGAUAUGAGACGUGAUCGCAUGGUCGUGUUUGGAAAGAUUUUUCGGUCUGGGAUGGGCUCGCGGCCUAUCAGCUUGUUGGUGAGGUAAUGGCUCACCAAGGCGUCGACGGGUAGCCGGCCUGAGAGGGUGACCGGCCACACUGGGACUGAGACACGGCCCAGACUCCUACGGGAGGCAGCAGUGGGGAAUAUUGCACAAUGGGCGAAAGCCUGAUGCAGCAACGCCGCGUGAGGGAUGACGGCCUUCGGGUUGUAAACCUCUUUUAGCAGGGAAGAAGCGAAAGUGACGGUACCUGCAGAAAAAGCGCCGGCUAACUACGUGCCAGCAGCCGCGGUAAUACGUAGGGCGCAAGCGUUAUCCGGAAUUAUUGGGCGUAAAGAGCUCGUAGGCGGUUUGUCGCGUCUGCUGUGAAAUCCCGAGGCUCAACCUCGGGCCUGCAGUGGGUACGGGCAGACUAGAGUGCGGUAGGGGAGAUUGGAAUUCCUGGUGUAGCGGUGGAAUGCGCAGAUAUCAGGAGGAACACCGAUGGCGAAGGCAGAUCUCUGGGCCGUAACUGACGCUGAGGAGCGAAAGGGUGGGGAGCAAACAGGCUUAGAUACCCUGGUAGUCCACCCCGUAAACGUUGGGAACUAGUUGUGGGGACCAUUCCACGGUUUCCGUGACGCAGCUAACGCAUUAAGUUCCCCGCCUGGGGAGUACGGCCGCAAGGCUAAAACUCAAAGGAAUUGACGGGGACCCGCACAAGCGGCGGAGCAUGCGGAUUAAUUCGAUGCAACGCGAAGAACCUUACCAAGGCUUGACAUAUACGAGAACGGGCCAGAAAUGGUCAACUCUUUGGACACUCGUAAACAGGUGGUGCAUGGUUGUCGUCAGCUCGUGUCGUGAGAUGUUGGGUUAAGUCCCGCAACGAGCGCAACCCUCGUUCUAUGUUGCCAGCACGUAAUGGUGGGAACUCAUGGGAUACUGCCGGGGUCAACUCGGAGGAAGGUGGGGAUGACGUCAAAUCAUCAUGCCCCUUAUGUCUUGGGCUUCACGCAUGCUACAAUGGCCGGUACAAAGGGCUGCAAUACCGUGAGGUGGAGCGAAUCCCAAAAAGCCGGUCCCAGUUCGGAUUGAGGUCUGCAACUCGACCUCAUGAAGUCGGAGUCGCUAGUAAUC